GUCUGCAACUCGACUCCAUGAAGCUGGAUUCGCUAGUAAUCGCGCAUCAGCCAUGGCGCGGUGAAUACGUUCCCGGGCCUUGUACACACCGCCCGUCAAGCCAUGGAAGCCGGGAGUGCCUGAAGUGUGCAACCGCAAGGAGCGCCCUAAGGUAAAACUGGUGACUGGGGCUAAGUCGUAACAAGGUAGC
rnacentral:rRNA from 1 species